rnacentral:misc_RNA from 1 species
AAAUGAGAUAAUCUCCGAUGAUACUACAGAAACCUACAUACUGCUUUCUACUACAAACUGCAAAUUAUCCAAUGAUUUGCAAAGAGUUUUCCAAAAAAUUCACUAGAGGGUCGUCUUCCGCCAGUUCGAAGAGUUUCUUUUGUUCUGGGUAAUUACUUCUAUUGAGGAGUUGCAUCAGUGAUAUUAGCAGAUAUUAGUGCUGCGAACGGAGAUUUAGGAAUUUAUUAUAAUUUAUAUUUUAUUGGCAAUGCCGCUCCAGUAUUGCGAAACUGACUACUAGGAAUCACAAAGGCGAUCGAAUUCAAUUUGUCUCCUUUCUUCCCAAAUCCUCUUCACCAUUUUGAAAACUGUAACAAUCACCUUUGAAUGUAAUUUCUUAUCUUAUCUUAUCUAAAACUGACCUAAACGAUUGCGAGAAUGGAAGACGAGACUUCACGCGGAUGGCGCAGACCAAUAAAUUCGAGAAUGCGAACGACCAUUCCAAUAGAGAUCCGCUGAACAGGUGUGAUUUCGCGGUCUAUGAAACACAAGGUUGUGGACCAUCGAAGUGAUCGUUUGUCCCAAUGCGACGUUAACUCGAUCAGCCUCGUAGUAUUGGUCGAUUUGGCGCCUUUGAGUUGGCCCAAUAGUCGUGCAAACUCCUGGCUAGUCAAGUUUCCGUAAAUUUGCGGAGAACACAUCGAAAUUACAGAUACUGCCCUUGCAAUCUGGAGAGAGUCCUUAGCACAACAGCAACAACAAAUGAAGGGAUUGUUUGGUUCGAAUGAGCAGGCGCUGUCGAAAGUAUUGCGACCCUGUUCGAAUGAAUCCGAAAAUGUAGUCUAAUUUUUUUGACAAAGUUGCAAUGGCGUAAGUAUAUUGAAAGAUGUCCUAUUAAAAAAUGAUAAUGAAAUCAACUGAUAUUGUUCUUUUAAUCCUUUUAGUUUCGGGAAGGUAAUUUUUUAUUUUUGAUCUUCUAUCACUCUACGAAUAAAACCAUCAAUAAGAUCAGAGUAAGAAAAAAAAAAACGAUUUCGAUUUGACCACGCAAGCCUUUGUUAGAAUCAGGAUUCAUAUUUCGAAGAUAUAUAAUAUUUUCGAUCUCGCGUGCGAUACUCCAGUGGAAUCUUCACGCGUAAUCACGCAUUAUCGCACGAGUGUUUACUUUCGAGCGCAUACACGCUUUCGCGUACACAUACACACAUCUCGCUGAUGCAUGCAGAAAUUUGGAUUUGUGUACACAUAGGCGAAGCACCAGCGCAUACACACACGUACGCACACGUGAAAGGUGUGCAUCGGGGAGAUUUCGUACAGCCGGUACCAGAUUGAUUUGGUUUACCGCUAUCCCGUUUCCCUCCUGCUGGAAAUCAGAGAGAGAAGGAGAAGGGUGCUGGUGGAUCCCCGCCCUGGAUUUUCCGCCGGCAAGUCGCGGCGAGGAAGGGUGUUUACUCAAGACACGACAAUUCAUUACGUAAUUGAAUUGAAUGAGCCCUCUCCUUCGUUCCGCGUCGCCCCCAUCCUCUUCCGAAGCGUUCGGCUCGAACGUGUACGCGUGCGAAUGCUCAGGCACGCGUGUGCGUGGUCUACGCGAGCCGAGGGGUGGACCGGGAUUCAGAGUCGGAUUAAGGAUUGAAAGGACCCCCUGGAGCCCGACGUAAUUCAAGAAGUUCUUUUACGAAAGCGCACGUCGCUUUGAAACGGAGUCGUCUUGGACAUUGCCACGCAGGAUUUUGCUACGUCCCUGGGACACCGUGACCUCCCUCCUCCCGUUCAUCGUCGUCGUCGUCGUCGACACCGCACGGCGUCUACGGUCCUCUUCUCCGAGGCCGGGGAAAUCCGAAGGCUGGGACCAACCGGAGGGGCUGGUAGCGAGAGCGACCGAAUUAAACGAUUAGUUAAACUGAUUUCGAGUUAGGCGAAUGAAUAAGUAAUCGGAUUUCUCGUUAAGGUAAUCGCAUUGCGCCCUGAUUGGCUCCGUCUGCCUGCGUUAUAGGCCGCACUCCCGGCAUUUUGCCCCUCUCUGCAUCCCGUUUACCCCCGUCCACGUCGACGUACCGUUCCCUCCUGCCCCUUCUCUCUGUCUCUCUCUCUCUCUCUCUCUUUCUCUCUCUCUCUCUCUCUCUUUGUCUGCUGGAAGGGCGAAGAGAGGGUGUCCUCUCAUCGUUUGCACGAGGGUGUCCUCGCGCAUUCCCAUUGUCGCCGUCUCAUCUCCCAGAAAUUGAGAAGUGCGAGUGUUUCAAAUAAUAUACACAUGCUGACAUUUCUAUUCACAUUGCCUAUCACAUCAUCUCAUUAUCUAUCAUUUACUUCAAUUACAAUCGUUUAAUUAGCACGACUGACACUGCAUCAAAUGUCUUUCAAAAUUAAAAAAAAAGAGCGUUCUUUGAUACAUUUGGUACUGCUUUCAUUGAGACACUUUUUAGUCUUAUCUUUCAUUUUAUUUCAUUUAUUCUUUCUUUGAUUUCAUAUGUCAGUAAUCAAAGAUUCUUUUUUCUUUGAUCCCGUACAGAUUUUAAGACCAUAAAAAAUUCCCAUGAAAAAAUGUGAAGAAUGGCAAACUGACAGUGUUUCAGUCCCAUUUAAAUAUUGCCGAGUUUGGCGGCGACAAACACGGGGACACAUGUCUCAGGGUCGCAUUUGCCUGUCGCAAGGAGAGAUUUGUGGCGUACCGAGAGUGUGCGCGGGAGGACAACUUCUGUAGAUUUAAUAUCGCACUAAACGAUGCAGAUUCAGCGAUACCCGGAAGACAGGAAAUACUGGGUGCCUUCUCUCUCUUCGGCGAGACUGCGCAACAAACGUGACGUAUUUUAUCGGAAACGAUAAAUCGCUCUUGAGAAAUCGAGAUUGGCAAGAAGGAAAUCGAAUUUACGUCGAGCCAAUAUACAUCAUCCUGACGGCUUUGAGAAUUUACUUACGCAUCGCCGAAAAGGAAGACAAGGAGAGAACAAAAGGAGAAAGAUAGAAGAAACGUUACCGGUGAGAAGAGAAGUGGAUAUUGAAACGGAGAAAUGUAUAGGAGCUGAGAGAGCGAGGCAGCAUGUGACAGAAGAAAUGCACUUGUCACAAAUAACUUGCAGGGCCGCUUUAUCUACAUCGUAAUCCCUUUCAGAUUUAUUUUUGUUUGAAGACUUCUAUGAAAUCUUUUAUACGUAUCUUUUAUACAUAUAUUUUGUAUUUUUACGUACUUUAUGAUUAAAAUGAUUGAUAAUUGGCACUUUUAAAAAAUUACUAGUUAUUUUACAAAAUAUUGAAUUCUGACAAGUCUACGUAAAGACAUAGUCAAUAACUUCAAUCGUUUUGAACAUGUACUGUAGUAGAUUCUUUGCUGCUGUGAGAUUUAACAUAAAUAUUAAAAAAAAAGAAAAAGAUUAUCUGGAAAUAUAAAAUAAGCAGGAAACAAUUUAUAAAAAAUAGAAUUUUGUAAUCAUAAUGCAAUUUACAUACAUACGUAAUUCGUGUUAUUCUACGCGAUUUAUCGGGAAGAAGAUAACGUGUCCAAAAUUUCCGAGUUCGUAAAAUAACUCUCUUUUCAGACCCGGCGUAGAAAGUCGACGAUCCGACGACCGAUAACGAGGUAGGACAAAAAAGGAAAAGCUUCGACCGCGGAAGGCAUGGGAUUAAUUACCGCGUGCCCGCGGCGGCGGCAGCGGCGGCGGCGGCCUGUUUCUGUCUCAGGUAAAUAGAGCGGCCCUGGGUGAUCGUACGGGGCGCAGAGGAGGAUGCGGGAAACAGCAGGGUAGUCGCCAAACGGCGUUCUACCCCCGGCCGGCGGCGAGGGGUAGUUUCGCCGCGAGCCGUUUCCGCGGCGGGCGGAAAAGCGGGCGCAAAUGCUAAUGAGCGUCGGUUUGGGGGUAGAUCGUGCCUGCCUCCCGGAAGAGGACGAGGGGCUGCGAGCUCCGGAACGUGUUUCGGCCGAGGCGAGAAGGAGGGAGAAGCUGCGAGAGGUACCGCGGGGCGUUUCCAUCACGCCCAUUCGCAUGCGGAUUGGCCGGCGGCCGAAUGGCGUCCUGGUGGACGCGUGGCGUCGGAACGCCGACGUCGGGAUGUGCCUCCCGUCGACGUGUCUCCCCGGCGACGGCUCUCUCUGGCGACGGCGGCGGCGAGUGCCGUCGGUGCCGAGGCGCGACGUCGCGCGCGAGAGUCGCCCCGAUAACCGUGAGGAUGGAGCAGCUCGCCCAGUUCGUCUCCAAGAGCUUCGACAACGCGGCGGCGGUGGUAGCGGCUACGACGAACGUCGAGGCUGCCGCCGGCUGCAGGGCGGCCGCCGCCGGCGGCAGGAUCACGCUCAGUGUCGCGCAUCUCAUCGGUGAUCACGUCGCGGACGAUGGCGACCGGCGUACGUAUGAAGCGGCGCAAGAGACCACGGCUAGCGUCGUCGAGACGAGCGGAAGCGUCGAAGAGCCGCCGUCGCCGGAAGGUCGGCUGCAACCGGAGGAUCUCUCCGUCACGGCCAAGAUCAAGGACAUCCGGAACACGGCAGAGAGCCUGCCACCCCUGAAGACGCCCGAGCUCAAGCUGUCGGUUCGCAAAUUGCUCGGAUGUACCCCUUCGCCGCCGCCCAUAUCGAGGGAUCGAUCACUCAGUCCAGAGAAUUGCGUCGAAUUAAAAAGUCAAAGCUCGAAUGAAAGCAAAGCUCUCGUAUCCUCAAACGAGGCUAAGGUGUCCUCGCAAAUUACAAGGUCGAGCGGACUAAAUCAAGAGGACUCCGUUAAGGGAUCCAAUUGUCGGAGCAACGGAAGUGGCAAUGGUAAGCAGAGGAGAUCGCGGACGAACUUCACUAUUGAGCAACUGGCCGAACUCGAGAGGCUCUUCGACGAGACACACUAUCCCGACGCGUUUAUGAGGGAGGAGCUGAGCCAGCGGCUUGGUCUCAGCGAGGCGCGGGUACAAGUUUGGUUCCAGAAUCGACGCGCCAAGUGUCGUAAACACGAGAGUCAGUUGCACAAAGGUGUCGCCGGGAGCAUGGUGCUGGCGCCGCGUAGCCCGCCGACGACGUUGGAACCGUGUCGAGUCGCUCCUUACCUGCCAGCCCUCAGGUUGCAUCCACCGCCGAUGCAGGGAACGGCCGCAAACGUCACGGUAGGAUCGGCCUUCGACCCGGCGGUGCUGCACUACGCGGCGGCCGGGGGCCUUUUCUGUUUGCCGCCACCGCCGCCGCCCCCGGCGCCGUCGGCCGGUCAUCCUCAUCCGCUGAGCCUGGCGGCAUCGCUGGCCGCUGCGGCGGCUCGCUCGAAGAACAGCAGCAUCGCGGAUCUCAGGCUGAAGGCGAGACGGCACCAGGAAGCCUUGGGGCUCGAUAGGCCUGCGUAAGGUCUGCAGCAUGGUACGUCUUGGACGAAGAGAGACUCGAUCGGGGAUGAAGAGGUGCGAGGUUGUCGUGAGACGGUGAGUACUCUCAGAUUCAGAGAGAAGAUUCUCGUCGAAAUGUGACUUAGAACGACACGAAAGGAAGAUAGUGACCGACCCACAUUGUGAUCGCGGUGAGUUCAAUUUUCGAGACGUAGAGAAGACACAUUAUUUUACGCCAAAGUGAAUUCUUGCUCAUUAUCGUCACUUGUUAAGACUUUACGGGCAGCUACUUAUCUACAAUUUUUCUUUAUGAAAACUUUAAUUAAAAUUCUCAAAAAUUUUAAUUAUGUAUCUUGUUCUCCGUAUCAUUUUAGAAAUGUUAGUUAUUUGUAUUUGAUUAAAAUUAUAUGUUGCGCAUGUACUAUGCAGGAAUUCGCUCGCGUAUAAAAUAUUAAAAGCGACACAUGUGCAUUCCUUCAUCCGCGACGUGCCGAAGAGUCUGAGAAGUACAAAGGACACUUAUAUAAUGUGUAUAAAGUACAGGAAGGGCGACGGGAAACAUGUAACAUACAUAAUGUAUACAGAAUCGGGAAUCUCGCUUGUAUCUCGAUUAGCGUAUUCUAUGUCGAAGAACUGUGAUGUAAAACCGCGAAGUUUAAUCAGCACCGACAUAACUUAGGGAGGUAACAAUUGUAAAGUUUCAUCAUUGAUUCUUGAACCAGUUCUCAUCUCAAGUUCGGGGUUGUUUCGUUCGGAGCGGAAGUUAAUGCAGUUUUGCGUAUGCUCACGCGUGUGUGAGGACACGUUCAAAUGGAACGCGUUUGUCGAAAGGGUACUUGUCAACGUGGUAAUUCAGAAAAAAACAUCAAAGUACAUCCAGAUACUUUGAUGAGAUAUAUACGAAAAGUAUUAAGGAUUUUCUGAAAUACAUUUUGUUAACAAAUCUAACUUUUGCCAUUUGUGUCAAUCGGCAAGUUUGAGAAACAAUAAGACGCAGAGAGAUCAUGGACCAACCGUAAAAGGAUCUCUAAGGAGUUAUUUCUAAGAUUUAAGCAAUUUCCGCGGGCGGUAUUAGUCUACGGUGAAAUUUAGGAAGUGUCGAGAUCACUGACCAUCGAAGUAAAAGGAGACGUACGUCUCUUCCAAGAAUAGAUUUCGGUCGCAACAGUUUCUUACCGGCGAUAUUAGUCCACGAGGGAAUACGAGGAAAUUUCAAGACGCGCCAGGAUCGCUGACCAACCGCGGGCGGGAAUUAUAGAUCGCCGCGUCCUGGCAGCGGCUUGCAAGACAUAACUCUUGUAGAUGAUUCACGGGCGGGUGGAUGGACGCCGGACGAUUUCACGCGUUUGUCGCCGGCGAGCGAGUGAGCGAGCGAGCGAGCGAGACGGGGGACGGUGGACGGCAUCGCCGUCGGGGCGCUAAUGCAAUAACGCGCGGCUACGCGGAUAAAUCAAGCCAGGCGAACCGCUCGAGCGGUGGCUGUGCUGUGCUGUGCCGUGCCGUGUCGAGCCAGUGCCGCGCCGCGUAAUCGCGUUACCCCGGUCGUCCCCGGGGCGCCGUUAUUGUCCCCGAAACCCCUUGCCCUCGGAACGGAGGAUGAGGUGCUCCGAAAGUCGCACGUUCCUCGAGUCCGAUAAUUUGUUCGACUUAUCUCCGUGUAAAUCGCUGAACGCGAGACUUGUUCCUUAUCUAUUUCAUUAGCGAGAAAAAGUAAGAGACUUAUGAUAUCGUACCUCGAAUACGAAAGCACUGAGAGUCCUUGGUGUUAAAUAUUGCUGUCGUAUGUAACACGGGGUUAUAUUGAUGUCUGCCGUAUCGGGAACAAGUUACGGAAGCUCACUGCUAUAUCAAAUCGCGAUGAAACGUCUUCCACUGCAUUUUCGCGGAAAAAUCAAUCAUGCAUCUCAGAGGAGGGUUGUAAUCGCUUUAACACAGAUUUAUUCCGGCCAUCCCCGGGGCGUCGUUAUCGUCCGUGUACGUCGAAGCAACGUCGCGUGGCGGUGAUUUGAUUAGCGACUUUAAUUAAAAAGAACGCUGGCGCACACCGACCGCUUCAACGUAUACGACCCAUAUAUGCUGAACUUUUUAUGGGCGUUGUAUAUAAAAAAAGAAAUACCUAUAAUUCGGUCGCUUUACGAUCGCAGGAUUGAUUAUGCAACAUAACUUACGGUCUCAUAAACUGACAUCGAAUUUUUCACGAUAAAAUUUUCUAAUAUACAGAUUAGUGGAUUUUCAUUGGAUCAAUUCAAUUAUAACGUAUUUGAAAUAUAAUAUAUGGUCGGCUGCAUAUGUGUUAAAACAGACAGAUCAACGUACUUCUACUGUAAAUCAUUGUUGAAGAUUAAUUGAAGUGAUUUAUUUAAUUAUAUACUCUCUAAAUUGCAAUUAGUGUAUUUUCACUGAUUUGCAGUGAUAUACUCAUAACUGUGAUAAUUAGUGAUUAUCUACUGACUUUUAGUGAUUUUUAUUGCAAAAUUAGCGUAUAAUCACUGAAAGAUCGGUGCAUUUAUUUCACUAAUUGCAUGACAAGUUAUAAGUAUACCACUGAAAUCAGUGUAUUUUCAUUGGUUUCAGUGAUUUUUCACUAAUUGUAAUUUAGAGAGUAAAAAGAUCGACGAAUAGAUAGACGCCGGUUCAGUUGCCUGUGUAAUCAAUUUUUAAUUAUCUGUCAAUUUUAAGAAUUUUUGAAUAUUUAUCUUUAUUUAGUAUAAAUAUAUUGGAUGUUUAACAUUUUCAAACAUUUUGAAUGCGGAGCAAUAUAAAAAUGGAUCGAAUUAUCACUAUCAUUGAUGAUCACUCAUAUUGCAAGAGCAAUAAACAGAAAUAAAGUAACAAUAAUUUGGGACACCUAUGUUUGCAUAACGAUAAAAAUAAUGACGCUUCACUUCAUCAGCAGGGACAUAAUAAUAAAAGUGCAAGGCCAGGGCCAAGGGCCGUGUUCGCCCUUCUACCUUCGGUGACGCUAAAAUAAAAUAAAACCCUCUCGUAUCCCCGGGAUAAUUCGAAGGGAACCGAAGGCUCCUCUUUCUCUUCCCUUUCCCUUCGCUCAUUUUAAUCCGAGUUUUAAGAAGUUUUUCCUAUUGCUCGUAAAUUGGCCGUCGUUUGUCUGGCCGGGGUCACGUGGGGCCAGCAAGGGGUGGAAACCACCCUCGGGAUAUUCUCCCCACUAUAGCGAGAUCCUGUUGUUCGCACAUUGCGCAUUCGUAACAAGCGAGUGGGGGAACGAAAACUCGUAACUGCGAUAUAAUGUUCCGCGAAAACCAGCUACCAUCAUCAAUUAUCUCCGCCCCCUCGACCCCUCCAAAUGGAUGAAACGAGAAAUAAUCGAGAAAUACGCGGAGAGGACGAUUCGUUUUUGAGAUUUCUUGAGGACGCUGCGUAAGAUAUAUAAAUAAUGGCAGUAACAAUAUUAUUAAGAAAAAGUAAGGUUUUAUAUAACAUAAUUAUAUAUACAUAUAUGUAAUGUUUCUGAAAAAUUAGGAUAGACUUAAAAAUUAUUAAUACCUCUAUUUGAAACAAGAAACUUUCAAUACAGUGACUACUUAAAACACAAAUUAUCUUUCUUUGAUAAUAUUUAUUUAAAAUUUCUUUCAAAUAGAAUUUGAUUGCACAUCUUAUGUUAAAUUAUUUUAUUGUUUGGCUUGAAAAUUACCGUGAAAAUGCAAUAACGCCUGGCCGGAUCAUCGGUGCCGGAAAAAUUCGCAACAGAUCAAUCCUACAAUUCCGACGGCGCGAUCGAGGGGGAUGGGUGGGACGGAUGCUGCGCGAGAUUUGGAAAUAAUUCAGCCCCGCGUACUGACUGGCGGGCCAAGGGGCCGCUUGCUCCUUCCGGCCCCCGCGUGCCUUAAUCUAAUCCAAGGAUAAUCUAAAAUUCAUGACACACAUAACUGCCAGGCGAUGAUAUAUCUGGCGGGGGUGUAAAGGCAGCGUCUUCUCCAUUCCGCCGCCGUCUCCCCCUCCCCCUCCCCCGCUUACUAUACCCUCUUCGCCGUUCUUGUAGCUUGCAGUUCGCCUCGGUGGGCACCCAACAGCAAUCACUGGCAUUAUUAUUUAAUGCGAACGCGCGUGGUGGCGUAUAUACCGACCAACUACCCAUACAUCGUGAUAUUGUAAGACCUGCUGCUGGAUGCUGUUUAUCUCGUAAGAGGAAUUACCAGCUCGAUACAACCGCCAAUUGAUUUUUCUUUUCAAAGACAUGUUCUAAAACAUGUUGAAUUAAACGACUUGAUCGCACAUCAGGGCGCCAUUUAUAACAUCCUUGUUUAGAAAGAUUUAUAUUGUUUAAGCACAGUAGAACUUUUACUCGAGAAAUACCAUGUGGAUUAAGGAACAUAAUUUGAAAGAUCAAUCUUUAAAGCUGCGUUACAAAGAUAGUGGAAUAUUUUAUCUCAGGUAAUCAAUUUCACUUACGUUUUUAAUUUAAUAAUCAAUUCUGCGUUUUAUUUCAGCUUAUGUAAAACAGAAUCUAAUCAGUUUUUCCGGUUACAAAUGGUUUUGUAAAACGUUCGAAAACUCAAUCCUAAACGCAGCAUCCACUUAUGCUAAGAACUUCGCUGUUUCUACUGAAUUAAUCGACUCGUGCGCAAUCAUCCGCGUACCCUUUCCGACGACCACGAGCAACGUUCGAGCCCGAUGGAAGUCGAUAAUCCGGGGAAUGCAGUCCGCGCCUUUACGAUGGGGUGAGAUGCACGCAAAUGGACCGAGGGUGGUCACGCGCCGGUGAUAAGAAAAGAGAAGAGCGAUAAACUAGAGAGAGAGAGAGAGAGAGAUAGCGAAAAAGUGGAGGAAACGAGGAGCUAAACGCGAGUUUCCGCCCCUCCGGGCAGAUCCGAUGCGGAAUCAAUUCGCGUAAUAGUUCCGAGGCGGGGGAGGAUGGCUCGGGAGGAGAGGGUGGCAGGAGAGCUAAAUCGACUGACGGUCGCAAGGGUGGGUUAAGCGAGAGCUCGGAUACGGGCCAUUACCACACCUGUCCCUCAACUUCGACUUCACGAGAGGGAGAGGAGAGCCCGAAGCUCUAAUGAAGAGAAGCAAUCACUUAAGCUGGCCCGCCAUAUACCCGGUGUGCCGAUACGGGAUACGGCAUGGUUUUAUUUGCGUGGCUCCGAUGCGCUUUUACGACUCACUCCGGGGAGUGUUCGACGGGACGCGAGCGAAUAGGACACGGAGCGUGUCCCGUGUUCGCCGAUCCGAAUCGCUCCUCCGGGACAUGGCUCGAUUAUUUGUAACGCGAGAUCGUUAUCUCCUCGAUACAGCCCGAAUCGGAAAGAACGUCGGAAUGCCAGAACCGGAGAGAUCAGUCUUUCAUUUUCUUGGACAUUUGAAGACUAUAAUCGUAAAGUGAAACAAAUCGAAUUUCACAAAUGCUUAACUUCUAAAGAUAACGCAAGUUCGUUAAAGUUUUAAUUUUGAUUUAAUACAUACUAAUUAUCAGAUUUACUUACCCCGUUUGUUUGUAAAAUGUCAUGUCGUUCGCAUUCUAGGUGAUAAUUCUGUAAAGAAAUAAUCGUAGCGUGAUUGAUUAACGGAAACAUUGGUACUCUCGACAGGAAAUGACAGAGAAAUAUGAGGAAUAAUUACAAAAUAAUUCCAAAUGAGUAACGUCGAUGUCAUCGGUUUUUUGAAAGAAAGGAAUUAUCACAAAGAAAGAUGUAACAUGUAACCAACGUAUGUCAAAAUAAAUUUAGGAUAGACUUUAUCACAGAAGAAAAACUCGCAAGGAUGAUCAGUACUUCGUCAAGAUUUAUUUCGAAUGAAAUGUCACGUAGCGCAUAAAGAACCAAGACAACGAGUGCAAUAUGGAACGAGAAUUGAAGCCGGUAUAAUUUCAACCUUCUUAAUUCUUGCUAUAGAUACAAGCUAUUAGAAGUAAAAAAAAAUUUUGAUACAAUUUUCUUACGCAAAAAUCGGGCGUAAUAUAUAGAUUGUCUCUUACAGAAACAUAACUUUCACUCUAUAACAGUCUAUUUUACUUCACUAAUGUUAUAAUAUCUUUACUAUUAUUACUACGAUUUGCAAUAUUACUAUAAAUUACAUACGAUUCUAUUUUUAUUUAAUUAUCUAGAGAGAGAGACUUUACAUUAAGUAUUUUCAAAAAAUUGACUUACAUCAUUGUCACGUCACAUUCACGGAGAUCAGUUUCGCGCAUCUAUAGCAUGGAAAUUUGAAGCUAACGAAGUUCUACCGGUUUCAAUCCCGGAUAUAAACUGUAUGAUGAUUUAUGCGCAUGCAAUGCAUAUGCCUUCGCGACUCGGACAGUUAAUUAACGGAAGAAGCUUGGCGACAGGAAGCAAUGGAGUGUUCGCGUAAACACGUCGCAACAAGCGAUUGAACCUUAAUUCUACAAUCUUUACUCUUCGUCUGCCGUCCGAAUAGAUGGAUCCAUAAUAGUCGAAUUGGAAUACUUGCACGCGCUUACGUGACGCUUUAUAAAGUCGUUCGGUUUAAUUACAAUGACGAGUUUGCGUUCGGAGAGAAAACGAUUCUUAAUGAGACGAAAAAUUGCCGAGACUAUAAAAUACAAUUAUCGAGUGUGUACAUUCAGCCUUAAACGAUGGAUUUACAGUGCAAUUGUCAUGUCAAUUUAAAAUGGUAUGGACGCGAUUAAUCUGUACACAGGAUAUUCUCACUCGAGUCGUUUCAAUUAAUCACUAAUGCCCAAUUUCUUCAUGUCCAAUUAUCUUGCGGUUAAAAUUAUCCAGGAGAUAAACUAUCAGAUCCAUGUACGUGAUUGGUUAAACUUGAGAUUUAUCCUCCGGAUAACUUUAUCGGGAAGUGAAGAAAUCGGACAUAAAGAAAUUUUCAAACUUGGAAUCAAUCUCUUCUUGACUAUUUAAUUUUAAAUGAGACUUUAAUUCAUAAAAUUUUCAUCCUGAAUUUGUAACUUUAAUUGAAAUAAAACAAUUAAAAUUACAAUUAUGAAUGUCCCAGCGAGAAAUGUCCCACGAUAAUGAAUUCGACAUCAAUUCAACGUCGAAUCGACAUCGAAAUGAUGAUUUCGAUGUUGAAUCGAUGUCGAUUUGAUGUACUAUUUCUCACUGGGGUCAUUUCGGUUUUACAAAAAAAAAUCACUGUUAUAAUAACAAUUGUGCACAGUUAAUCAGUCUAUUACAUUUUACGUUUCAGAAUCAAGAGUUAUAUAAAGAAGUACAUGUAGAAAUAAGAAACUGUUUCUAUUACUCUUCCAAGAUGGGCAGCCUUUUCGUUGCACCUGACAGGCAUAAAUGUAUCAUCGUGUAAAAAAGCAGAAUGAAGUCUCGUGUUCUUUUUCUUUUCUAUCCGUGCGAAACUUACAUGCGACGUUACUACUGAGCACUAGAAGAGAUUAUUCUUAAGUACUAGGCAGUCAAGGUAAUAUGCAACAAUAAAAAAGAACACCGUGUAUGUAUACUCUAUUAUCGAGUGUUGACACUGGACAGAGGAAUUCGUCGACGCUUGCGAGAAGAAACAGCAAAGUAAAAGCAAAUUACGGCGCGCAGAUCGAUCUGCAUUUUAGCAGAACCGUCCUUCCGUGACCGCAAGGAUAGGAUAAUCAGGUACUAGGAACAGCCCCACACGGAGUCCCAAUCCUUUGAGAAAAAAAUCACGAUUGAGCUACAUCUGAUAUCGAGAGAUCUGACAAAACGAUACUUUUAUUCUGAAAGAUCUUAGAAUUUCGCAAAAAUCUCGUUUUAUUUCAUCGCAUGCAUCUCGAUUGGAAUGAGCAAAGAGUAAUAUAUCAAUCAUAUGUAUAUGAUUAUAUACAUCUAUAAUAUAGAAUUUCUUUCGCAAUACCAAGCGUCAUAUUAAUAAAUCUUGUUCGGUGAAUAUUGUGGUUGUACGUUGUACCUUCAAUUGUUUUACAAAAAGAAUAUCCGUGAACACAUGUCUGUGAGCAUACUUAAGUAUAUGCACAUUAACACAACCAUGACUACUUGAUACAAAGCAAUACCGUUUACCGAAAGAGUUACGGUGAUGAGGUAAUAACGAUUGGUAAUUCCCAAAGGACAGGAACCUCCGCUCCGAACGCUGCCCGCACGAGGAUUCAUUAUGAUUAAAUAUAAUACACACCGUCAUAUAUAUAGAUAUAUAUAUAUAUAUUAAUUACAAUAAUUAUAGUAUUAAUUAAGAAUUAUGUUAAUAAUUAUUUAACCACGUGUAUGGCUCAGUCUAUUAAGCUAGUCUCAUGCAACAACAACAAUAAAGAUACAACAAUAUAUUUA